UACAGGGGGGGCAAGCGUUGUUCGGAAUUACUGGGCGUAAAGGGUUCGUAGGUGGCCACUUAAGUCAGACGUGAAAUCCCUCAGCUUAACUGGGGAACUGCGUCUGAUACUGAGUGGCUUGAGUGCAGGAGAGGAAUGCGGAAUUCCAGGUGUAGCGGCGAAAUGCGUAGAUAUCUGGAGGAACACCGGUGGCGAAGGCGGCAUUCUGGACUGUAACUGACACUGAGGAACGAAAGCCAGGGGAGCAAACGGG
rnacentral:rRNA from 1 species